rnacentral:rRNA from 1 species
UACGAGGGGGGCGAGCGUUGUUCGGAGUUAUUGGGCGUAAAGGGUGCGUAGGCGGUUUGGUAAGUCUGAUGUGAAAUCUAUGGGCUCAACUCAUAGUCUGCAUCGGAAACUGCCGGGCUUGAGUAUGGGAGAGGUGAGUGGAAUUCCUGGUGUAGCGGUGAAAUGCGUAGAUAUCAGGAGGAACACCUGUGGCGAAAGCGGCUCACUGGACCAUAACUGACGCUGAUGCAUGAAAGCUAGGGGAGCAAACAGG